rnacentral:rRNA from 1 species
CCUACGGGAGGCAGCAGUGGGGAAUAUUGGACAAUGGGCGAAAGCCUGAUCCAGCAAUGCCGCGUGAGUGAUGAAGGCCUUCGGGUCGUAAAGCUCUUUUACCAGGGAUGAUAAUGACAGUACCUGGAGAAUAAGCUCCGGCUAACUCCGUGCCAGCAGCCGCGGUAAUACGGAGGGAGCUAGCGUUGUUCGGAAUUACUGGGCGUAAAGAGUACGUAGGCGGUUAUUCAAGUCAGAGGUGAAAGCCCGGGGCUCAACCCCGGAACUGCCUUUGAAACUAGAUAACUAGAGUCUUGGAGAGGUUAGUGGAAUUCCGAGUGUAGAGGUGAAAUUCGUAGAUAUUCGGAAGAACACCAGUGGCGAAGGCGACUAACUGGACAAGUACUGACGCUGAGGUACGAAAGCGUGGGGAGCAAACAGGAUUAGAUACCCUGGUAGUCCACGCCGUAAACGAUGAUAACUAGUUGUUCGGUCACUUGGUGACUGAGUGACGCAGCUAACGCAUUAAGUUAUCCGCCUGGGGAGUACGGUCGCAAGAUUAAAAACUCAAAAGGAAUUGACGG